AAAUUGAUUUAAACUAGCAUUCCUAAAAUUGUUUUAAACUGUUGGAAUUAACGGUUAAGAAAUGGUAUCAACAUGGAUUCGAAUAUUGGCCUAUAUGCUGCCUAACGGAAUCAAACAAUGCCUCUUUAAAAUCUGCCUCAAAUACCCAAGAAAGCUAGAGAUGAAAUAUGGCAACUAAGCCCUUAACUUAUUUGUUCAUUCCACAAAUUACAUGUUUAACUACAUGGAAUCUGUAGCUGACAACUACAAACUAUAGUUUGAACACCAAACAGUUCCAGUUAAAUACAAUACUACGUCAUGCAUUCCGGUUGAGCUAUAAAACUAAACUAUAUAAAUACAUAUAUCUUAUUAAACUAUAGAUACAACAGUAAUUCAUCAAAACACCCUAGCAUUUCAUUUUUUAACUUUCACAUCUCACAGCCACAUCAAUAUUGAUUCGAAAGUGUACCUGGUAUUGAAAUAAAAGAAGAGGAAGAUGAGAGAUCAGUAAGGCAGUAACAGUGCAGCAACAGAACAACAACAACUAGUAACCAGGAGAUUAAAAACCCAGCAAUAAACUCAGAAAUCCAGUUGUAAUUUCAGAAAUACAAGGCAGCAACACAUAUACCAGAAACAACAACAAAUAACCAGUACAAACCAGAAAUAACAAACUCAGAAAACCACUUGAAACUUCAAUGAAAUUCCAGAAAACAAACCAGCAAUCCUAAACAGAACAGUAGAACCAGAAAUGCAAUAGAAUAGCAAACUUUGAUUUCUGUUUUUUAAACUCUCCAAGAAAGAAACACUUUGAACUUUUAUUAAACACUAACAAAACUGAUUCUGAUUUUUCAGAGGUGAAGGGAAACCAACUCUCCAACCUUCCUUCUUUUUCUUUUUUAGUAUUUUUCCGAAGAAGUCUUUUUUCAGUCUUAUUCUGUCUCUUCUUUUCUUAGGGUCUCCUCUUUCUUUUCCAGCCUCAACACCCUUUUAUACAAGUCUGCCCUCUCUCCAACCUACUGCCCGACCCUUUUUCUUAUUGAAAUCAGAAUUUUCCACUAAAAUCCCACUAAGGAAAGCUUUCCUUAAUUUCAUCCCCCUCAUUCCUUUUUGUUCCCCAUUAGUGUAUUAAUUUAAAGAUAUUAAUAUCCCACUAACAACACACUAACAUUAAAAUAUUAUCCUAACUGUUUCAUUCCUAAAUCACUCCUGAAACCCCUUAAUAUUACUGCCCCUAAUACAAUUAUUCAACUGUAUUAAAACUUAAUUCUGAAAUCUGUUUUCAACUAACAAAGAUUUGAAAAUUAAACCUGACUAACAGCUAUAACCAAACUUAUUUCUGAUAACUGAACGACUGAGGUUAGAAUUCAAUUGGACAAAUGAACUGGAAUUAAAUCAAAACCAGACUUAACACAACAUAGAACUCAACAGAAUCCUUAAAGCUGAAAUUUAAUAAUAAAAUCAGAAUCAACACGAAUGCAUGAUCAUUGUCAGCCUAUUGACAAUGCCCUUAAACUAAGUGUCCACAGAUCAGCACACACAACAACCAUUUGACGAACUUAUUGGUCUAUAAACAAAAACGAAUUAAUCGACGAAAACUAAUUAACCGAUUGCCUACAACAAUUGACACUAAACAAUCAGACACAGAAAAUCAAGCAAUUCACGGGUAAUUUCAGUGUUAUUGACAGAAACAUAGAUUAACUGGAAACUAAUUAAUUGACACAACUUAUUAAUCGAUUACACAAAUUAUUAUACAUAACAAUUAUAGCAAACAUAAACAAAUGACAGAAUUGGACCAAAUAAAAAGGUCCACUGAAGAUUAACAGAAUCAAUUGACAAAAAGAAUUAAAAAAACCAAUAAAACUAAACUAACAAAUAAAUAGAUAUAAACAGAUACAAAACGAAACCAAACGGAAAAGACAAAUACCUCAAGAACUCGGACACUAUACAAUCCUGACUUGAACUCUGACUCGUACCCUUUUGAGAACACUUCGACUAAGGUCUAUUGAACACCCAAAACCUCUUUGAUUUGGAUAGAAUUCCAGGCUUGGGUUUUUAGGGUUCUUGGGCUUGAUUUGGGGCUCGAGUGUUUCUAGUCAUAUUCGAACCAAACCAAGCUUGGUUUGGUUACGAGUGAGGUCAGGGGAGUAACUGGUAUGAAUUAGGGACUGGUUGGGGUAGAUCUAAGUUUGGCUCGAAUCUUCAAAUGAAGAUUUGAGAAGUUCCAGGAAGAUUCGAGCUAAACGGUUAUCGGAUUUGGAUCGAGGGUGGUCAGGUGGUCUUAGGGUGUUGGUUUGGUGACCGGCGACGUUGUUGCCGUCGGGUUUUAGGCGGAGGUAACCUAAGGCGGCUAGGGUUUGGGGUCCGUCUCUGAAAGAGACGAUGAACAGGGCAAAGGGGGGGUGUUUGGUUUGGGGGGCUGGGGUAGGAUAUUAAGUUUAUAUAGGGGAGGGGUGGUUUG
rnacentral:lncRNA from 1 species